UCCGUAGGCGGGCGAUUAAGUCAGAGGUGAAAUCCUGCAGCUUAACUGUAGAACUGCCUUUGAUACUGUUGAUCUUGAGUCAUUAUGAAGUGGUUAGAAUGUGUAGUGUAGCGGUGAAAUGCAUAGAUAUUACACAGAAUACCGAUUGCGAAGGCAGAUCACUAAUAAUGUACUGACACUGAGGGACGAAAGCGUGGGGAGCGAACAGGAUUAGAUACCCUGGUAGUCC
rnacentral:rRNA from 1 species